CCUACGGGUGGCUGCAGUGGGGAAUAUUGGACAAUGGGGGGAACCCUGAUCCAGCCAUGCCGCGUGUGUGAAGAAGGCCCUCGGGUUGUAAAGCACUUUCAGUGAGGAAGAACGCCUGGUGGUUAAUACCCAUCAGGAAAGACAUCACUCACAGAAGAAGCACCGGCUAACUCCGUGCCAGCAGCCGCGGUAAUACGGAGGGUGCGAGCGUUAAUCGGAAUUACUGGGCGUAAAGCGCGCGUAGGUGGCUUGAUAAGCCGGUUGUGAAAGCCCCGGGCUCAACCUGGGAACGACAUCCGGAACUGUCAAGCUAGAGUGCAGGAGAGGAAGGUAGAAUUCCCGGUGUAGCGGUGAAAUGCGUAGAGAUCGGGAGGAAUACCAGUGGCGAAGGCGGCCUUCUGGACUGACACUGACACUGAGGUGCGAAAGCGUGGGUAGCAAACAGGAUUAGAUACCCUUGUAGUC
rnacentral:rRNA from 1 species